GCCAGAUCUUAUUCAAGAGUUGAAUGGAGAGCCAAGACAGAGUACUCAAAAGAGGAAUAUUUAACUUUGAAGGAGGUAUCCUGACUGCUCCAUUUCAAAGAUGAGAAACUGUGGUUUCGAGGACAUAAUGCCUUGUCCAAGGGCAGUCAAAUUCCUUUCCAACCAGCAAAGCAUGCCUGUGACUCUCCUCUCCUACUUUAGAUAUUGAUCCCAGGACCAGACAUUCACUUCUAGUGAGGCAAGACUCACUGCUUCUGAGCCGAGAGGAUGGAUCUCACUGCCAAGCAUUGAUAGUGUAGCUCCUCUUUUCUUUCACACCAUAGAAUGCACUCAGAUACUCUCUGGGACCCUUUCCUGCUUUGGGAUUAUUAAAAAAAUUAC